ACGACCUUACUUGAACAGGAUCUAUUCUAUAGGCUCGUAACUCUGUUUCCUUGAGUUCUAAGGAGACAGGAACCUACGUCUGGUGGAUGACUCAUGACCGAGAGUGGUUCAACUUUACAGGAU